AAACUUAAAUGAAUUGACGGGGCCCGCACAAGCGGCGGAGCAUGCGGAUUAAUUCGAUGCAACGCGAAGAACCUUACCAAGGCUUGACAUACACCGGUAACGCCCAGAGAUGGGUGCCCCCUUUGUGGUCGGUGGACAGGUGGUGCAUGGUUGUCGUCAGCUCGUGUCGUGAGAUGUUGGGUUAAGUCCCGCAACGAGCGCAACCCUCGUCCUAUGUUGCCAGCGGGUCAUGCCGGGGACUCAUGGGAGACUGCCGGGGUCAACUCGGAGGAAGGUGGGGAUGACGUCAAAUCAUCAUGCCCCUUAUGUCUUGGGCUUCACGCAUGCUACAAUGGCCGGUACAAAGGGCUGCGAUACCGCGAGGUGGAGCGAAUCCCAGAAAGCCGGUCUCAGUUCGGAUUGGGGUCUGCAACUCGACCCCAUGAAGUCGGAGUCGCUAGUAAUCGCGGAUCAGCACGCCGCGGUGAAUACGUUCCCGGGCCUU
rnacentral:rRNA from 1 species